UCCCGCGUGGUGUAGUGGCUAACAUCGCCGUCUCUCAUUGGUUCAAAUGAACACGGCAGCCGGGGGUUCGAUUCCCCCCACGGGAA